rnacentral:sRNA from 1 species
AAAAUUUGAUAAUGGCAAUGUCAUGUAAUUAAUUACAAAAAUUAAGGUUACAUUUAAAAUGUACUUCCCAAAUAAUAUAGUAGGAUUUCAGUUUUGAGAAGCUGACCUCAUUUUGACAUCUUUUUUUUCUCAAACCU